CAGUAGCCACGGGAAUACGUAGGGCGCAAGCGUUAUCCGGAAUUAUUGGGCGUAAAGAGCUCGUAGGCGGUUUGUCGCGUCUGCCGUGAAAGUCCGGGGCUCAACCCCGGAUCUGCGGUGGGUACGGGCAGACUAGAGUGAUGUAGGGGAGACUGGAAUUCCUGGUGUAGCGGUGAAAUGCGCAGAUAUCAGGAGGAACACCGAUGGCGAAGGCAGGUCUCUGGGCAUUAACUGACGCUGAGGAGCGAAAGCAUGGGGAGCGAACAGGAUUAGAUACCCCCGUAGUCCCUGUCUCUUAUAC
rnacentral:rRNA from 1 species